rnacentral:rRNA from 1 species
CCUACGGGUGGCAGCAGUGGGGAAUAUUGGGCAAUGGGCGCAACCCUGACCCAGCGACGCCGCGUGAGUGAUGACGGUCUUCGGAUUGUAAACCUCUUUUAUCAGGGAAGACAAAAGUACGGGACCUUCAGAAAUAGCCACGGCUAACUACGGGCCAGCAGGCGCGGGAAUACGUAGGUGGCAAGCGUUAUUCGGAAUUACGGGGGGGAAAGGGUGUGGUGGCGGGUUUGCAAGUUAGUUGUGAAAAUUCAGGGAUCAACCCAUAAACUGCGUCUGAAAAUGUAGGUCUUGAGAGUAGGAGAGGUAAACGGAAUUCCCGGUGUAGCGGUGAAAUGCGUAGAUAUUAGGAGGAACACCAGUGGCGAAGGCGGUUUACUGGACUACAACUGACGCUGAGGCACGAAAGCGUGGGGAGCAAACAGGAUUAGAUACCCGAGUAGUC